ensembl:lncRNA
GUGAGGCCCCAGCCCCUGCCUUCUGUGAGGCCCCAGCUCUUUCCAUGUGACACUACAAAUGGAGAAGAUUCAAAUGAAAGAAUGGAUGUGGGGAGACAAAUAUAUGGACAAAAAAAAGAAAAAAGAAAAAUAUUGUAGUUGUUGAUUGUAUUCCUUCUGAGUUGAGAAUGCUGUAAACACUGUAAAUGUGCCACGUGUGAGGACAGUGGAGGGGAGGAUGCUGAGGCUCCCCAGAGAUCUGUGUGGGGUCUGACUCCUUCUCAAAGCUGUCAGAAGAGGAGAAGAGUUGUGUGUGUGUGUGAGUGUGAGUGUGUGUGUGUGUGUGUGUUUGUGGGUGUGUGCAGUGAGGGGCAUAGAGUACAGUGGCACAAAGGACACAAGAGCACAGGAGGUGUGUGUGUGUGUGUGUGUGUGUGUGUGUGUGUGUGUGUGUGUGUGUGUGUGUGUGUGUGUGUGUGUGUGUGUGUGUGUGUGUGUGUUGUGUGUGUGUGUAUUGGGAGGUAGGGGGUUGAGAAAGUCAGGGGAUUUUAGCUUCUAUUCUAUCAAUUGCAUCUAACCCUACAAUGGAUCUUACACACAGAUCCAUAGGUGUGUGUGGAUCUUACACACACAGAUCCAGAGGGGUGUGUGCUGAUGUGUGAAGGCAGACAUUCCUCAAUGUAAAUACCAUUAAUCAGACAACUGUGUUUUUCACAGCCCUUCAGUAUAAUUCCUGUAAUGCAUCGCUGCGGUUUGUAAGAAGGCUCAAUGGCUCCCGGUUAAUCCAUCACCUUCUUGUGCAAAGUACUUCACAAUUGACCUGAUAUUCUGAAUUUGCUUUAUUUAGAUUGAAAAAAAAUGACUUCUCCUUCUGAAGCUGUACAUUUUCUGAGUUCUGUCUCGUUCUGCUGUGGUAGAUGCUAAGAUGGGCGUGGCCCCUGGAGUGAAUUGGGCCGGAGCAGAUCUGUGCAGACCUGCCAUCUGAGGUGUGUUCAAAUUCGGCAAACAGAGGCCACAUGUUUUCUUUUAACUUUAAAAUUAGAAAGUUCCAAAUUGUUCGAUGUAAACGGUAACCCUGUCGAUGUUUGUUCGCCGAGAACUACCUGCUCAGACCGUUUGUGUGUCUGUCGCAAAUGUUCUCAGUGCACUCAAAGCAAACGAAAAAUAUUUUGAAGACGUUUGCCUUUGUUUGUUAUUUUGAACACACCUCUGGGUCACUUGACUCUCUCACAUGAAACAAUAUGACGGUGAAUCAUGAGAAAGACACCGAGAAAAAGAGGAAGACAAUGAGACUGAGAAAAAGAGGAAGACAAUGAGACUGAGAAAAACAGGGCAAUGAGAGGGGAAAAGAGAGAGAGAGAAAGCGAGUGAGUAAUGAGGAGACAAUGAAAAGAUAUAUUCCUACAUAAUAUUGAGCAUUAACAUGAUACAAUGUGAACUGAUCCAACCCUUGUCGAGCCGACAGAUGUUGGUGACUAAUGAUGUGUGCAGUUAGACAGAGAAGACUGCUGCAGUGGCGUUCCUGCAGUGGCCGUUUCUCGUGUUGUUAUGGCGUUCGUUUAUGUAUUUAUUUUGACACACCACAGGACAAACUUAACAUUGGGCUCCUUAUUUAUCAGAAGCAUCCAGGACACGUUGCAGCAGACAUGUUCAACACGUUAUAACCAACCCAAUAUCAGUCAGUGGUUCAACAUUGUCCUUUAUCACAGAGAAACUGUUUUAAAAGAUGAAAUGCUUGCGUUAAUAGGGCCAACAGCAGAAAUCCAGGACAGAAACAUCAUAGAGUCUAACAGAAGAUGUCUAGAUUAUUAGAAUGAACAUGCUGUAGAAUACGAAUACUAGUGUUGCUUCUGAAUUCUGUUGUUGAAUUCUGAAUACUGCUAUUCAUAAUUAUCUGUUCUUUUUUUUCCCAGCCAAUUGUAAGUGUAUGCUAAUUCAAAAGAACAAACCUCUUUCAGAAAUCCAAUUUGCAACUGGUAUCAGUUUUCAAGUGAUUCCUUGCCCUGAUUGUAGUAGGCUGGUAGAGUAGGCUUUGGCUGUGUUUGUUCUGCAGCAGCUAAUGAGGAAACCUUUCCAGAGCCAUAAAGGCCCUCUGAUGAAGGGUCGUUGUGUUGGGGAGAAUGGAGCUCUGCAAAACAGCACACUGCAUCCAUGCAACAUCUCUGUUUCCUAACGUGUAGAAAUAAAGGCUUUGUCAUACCACACAGCACAAUGUGUUCUUGCAUUUUCAAUUUGCUUAUUCUAGAGAUCCAUUCGGAGUAUGAUCAGUAAUAUCUGCCGACAUGUAUGAUCCUAAGAAUGGAGAAACUCUCUCUCUCACAC